UACGAAGGGGGCUAGCGUUGUUCGGAAUCACUGGGCGUAAAGGGCGCGUAGGCGGCUUUGUAAGUCGGGGGUGAAAGCCUGUGGCUCAACCACAGAAUUGCCUUCGAUACUGCAUGGCUUGAGACCGGAAGAGGUAAGUGGAACUGCGAGUGUAGAGGUGAAAUUCGUAGAUAUUCGCAAGAACACCAGUGGCGAAGGCGGCUUACUGGUCCGGUUCUGACGCUGAGGCGCGAAAAGCGUGGGGAGCAAACAGG
rnacentral:rRNA from 1 species